AGUGAACGCUGGCGGUAGGCCUAACACAUGCAAGUCGAACGGCAGCACAGUAAGAGCUUGCUCUUACGGGUGGCGAGUGGCGGACGGGUGAGGAAUACAUCGGAAUCUACUUUUUCGUGGGGGAUAACGUAGGGAAACUUACGCUAAUACCGCAUACGACCUACGGGUGAAAGCAGGGGAUCUUCGGACCUUGCGUGAUUGAAUGAGACGAUGUCGGAUUAGCUAGUUGGCGGGGUAAAGGCCCACCAAGGCGACGAUCCGUAGCUGGUCUGAGAGGAUGAUCAGCCACACUGGAACUGAGACACGGUCCAGACUCCUACGGGAGGCAGCAGUGGGGAAUAUUGGACAAUGGGCGCAAGCCUGAUCCAGCCAUACCGCGUGGGUGAAGAAGGCCUUCGGGUUGUAAAGCCCUUUUGUUGGGAAAGAAAAGCAGCAGGUUAAUACCCCGCUGUUCUGACGGUACCCAAAGAAUAAGCACCGGCUAACUUCGUG
rnacentral:rRNA from 1 species